rnacentral:rRNA from 1 species
CCUACGGGGGACAGCAGUCGAGAAUCAUUCACAAUGGGGGAAACCCUGAUGGUGCGACGCCGCGUGGGGGAAUGAAGGUCUUCGGAUUGUAAACCCCUGUCAUGUGGGAGCAAAUUAAAAAGAUAGUACCACAAGAGGAAGAGACGGCUAACUCUGUGCCAGCAGCCGCGGGAAUACAGAGGUCUCAAGCGUUGUUCGGAAUCACUGGGCGUAAAGCGUGCGUAGGCUGUUUCGUAAGUCGUGUGUGAAAGGCGCGGGCUCAACCCGCGGACGGCACAUGAUACUGCGAGACUAGAGUAAUGGAGGGGGAACCGGAAUUCUCGGUGUAGCAGUGAAAUGCGUAGAUAUCGAGAGGAACACUCGUGGCGAAGGCGGGUUCCUGGACAUUAACUGACGCUGAGGCACGAAGGCCAGGGGAGCGAAAGGGAUUAGAUACCCUAGUAGUC